GGCAUAGGGGGCAAGCGUUAUCCGGAAUUAUUGGGCGUAAAGAGCUCGUAGGCGGCUUGUUGCGUCAGUUGUGAAAACCCGCAGCUCAACUGUGGGCUUGCAGCUGAUACUGGCAGGCUUGAGUUCGGUAGGGGAGACUGGAAUUCCUGGUGUAGCGGUGAAAUGCGCAGAUAUCGGGAGGAACACCUGUGGCGAAAGCGGCUCACUGGGCCACAACUGACGCUGAGGCGCGAAAGCUAGGGGAGCAAACAGG
rnacentral:rRNA from 1 species